rnacentral:lncRNA from 1 species
GGAAGGCGGGAUGAUAACGGAAUCAAUGGAGAGGCCUGAGUAGGGUUAAUGCGGGCCCGAAGAUGUAGCAGCAGGAGUAUGACAAUUAGUGGGAAAGUCUGAGCACGAAGGGCAUGCCAAGCCAUCAGUUCCAGUCUUGUUAUUUCCAAAAAGGCCUGAAGCCAGUCUUGCAAAGAGGUGGUGGUGACCAUGCAGUUGGAUACGUGGAACUCUUAGCUCUCUGCAGGACGCCAGGGCACCAAAGGCUGGAAGCCUUAGCCGUGCCUUGUCAGGAAAAACUCUGUGGAGGCUCGUCUGUAGUAAACAGUGGUUACAGGGAGCAGGUCUGUGCCAAAUCGAGGAAUGCAGCUGCCAGAUCUUGAAUACAAACCUGAAAACCUCACAAACAUCAAGUUCCAGAGGAGUCUCCAAGUCCUAGAACUUCUAUGACACUGUUGGCUUCAGGAAAACUGGUCACUUCAGAGCCCAAUGCUAAGGACCCCUAUUUCCCAAAAUUGUGAUCUUAAGCAAGCUGCACCUCCAUUUUGCCCAUCGGUCUAAAAACAAUACAGCCAUGAUGAGAUGGACCUCAGAGGGUGAGAAGUGUUUGGCUCUGUCUGGAAUGUAGAAAAUUCUAGUUAAAUGUUGGCUACCAAAAUUAUGGCAGCUGUUUAGAAUCCU